rnacentral:misc_RNA from 1 species
UUUCCGUAGGUGGACCUGCGGAAGGAUCAUUAUUGUAUAACCGAGGUGCGAGGGCUGUCGCUGACCCGAAAGGUCGUGCACGCCCGAGUGCCCUCACACACAUCCACCUCACCCCUAUGUGCACCACCGCGUGGGUCCCCCUUUGGCUUGUUCGGAGGGGGGCUUACGUUUUCACACAAACUUUGUAUGCAGUGUAGAAUGUAUUUUUUGUUUUUGCGAUCACGCAAUCAAUACAACUUUCAACAACGGAUCUCUUGGCUCUC